rnacentral:rRNA from 1 species
GCCUACGGGGCGCAGCAGUGGGGAAUAUUGCACAAUGGGGGAAACCCUGAUGCAGCGACGCCGCGUGAGCGAAGAAGUAUUUCGGUAUGUAAAGCUCUAUCAGCAGGGAAGAAAAUGACGGUACCUGACUAAGAAGCCCCGGCUAAAUACGUGCCAGCAGCCGCGGUAAUACGUAUGGGGCAAGCGUUAUCCGGAUUUACUGGGUGUAAAGGGAGCGUAGACGGCCAGACAAGUCUGAAGUGAAAAUCCAGCGCUUAACGUUGGAAGUGCUUUGGAAACUGCCGGGCUAGAGUGCAGGAGGGGCA